CCAGCAGCCCCUGCCGUCGCCCUCCCUUCGGUGUGACGGGUGGAGCCGGCCUUCUCCCAGUCUCUAGUAGUUUCCGUGCAGCUGACGCAUGCUUGUCGCACAGCUGGGCCGGCCCGGAGAGGCCUGCCUGACGACUGACGAGUUGCCAUGGCAUCCUACUACGAGAUUCUAGAUGUGCCGCGAAGUGCAUCCGCUGAUGACAUCAAGAAGGCGUAUCGUCGGAAGGCUCUACAGUGGCACCCAGACAAGAACCCGGAUAAUAAAGAGUUUGCUGAAAAGAAAUUUAAGGAGGUGGCUGAGGCCUAUGAAGUGCUGUCUGACAAGCAUAAGCGGGAGAUCUACGACCGCUACGGCCGAGAAGGGCUGACUGGGGCAGCAUCUGGUCCCUCUCGGGCAGAAAGUGGUGGUGGUGGGCCUGGCUUCACCUUUACCUUCCGAAGUCCUGAAGAAGUCUUCCGUGAGUUCUUCGGGAGUGGAGACCCUUUUGCAGAACUUUUUGAUGACCUGGGCCCCUUCUCAGAGCUUCAGAGUCGAGGCACUCGACACUCGGGCCCCUUCUUUACCUUCUCUUCUUCCUUCCCUGGGCACUCUGAUUUCUCCUCCUCGUCUUUCUCCUUCAGUCCUGGGGCUGGUGCUUUUCGCUCUGUUUCCACAUCCACCACUUUUGUUCAAGGACGCCGCAUCACAACACGCAGAAUCAUGGAGAACGGGCAGGAACGGGUAGAAGUGGAGGAGGAUGGGCAGCUGAAGUCAGUCUCCAUCAAUGGUGUCCCAGAUGACCUGGCCUUGGGCUUGGAGCUGAGCCGUCGGGAGCAGCAACAGUCAGUCACCUCCAGGUCGGGGGGCAUGCAGGUCCGGCCAACCCCUGUAUCACGUCCCUCUGAGAGUGACCUCUCUGAGGAUGAUGAGGACCUGCAGCUUGCCAUGGCCUACAGUCUGUCAGAGAUGGAAGCAGCUGGGCAGAAGCCGGCAGGUGGGCGGGGGGUGCAGCAACAACGGCAGGGGCAACCCAAGGUCCAGCACCAAGAUCUGGGUGUGGGGGGUACCCAUGAGGGUGCAAAGGGUGAGGCAACCAAACGUAGCCCGUCUCCAGAGGAGAAGGCCUCUCGCUGCCACAUCCUUUGAACACCAGGCCCAGCCUGACUUGACUCAGGUCUUGACUUGAGGUCCGGCUGUCAGGAGAGCUGAGUGGAGCAUGGCCUGAGUUAAAGCAGCCCGUGUCCCUCCACAUUUCCCUCCCAGGCCUGCUGCACUCUGGUGUUGUGGAUUUGGAAUUUAUUUGCUCAGCCUGGGGCUGAUAGGUCCCUGGGUGAAGCCCAGGGUCGGGGCAUCAGGGCUGUGGAAGGGGCUGAGGAUGAGCCCAGAUUCACUUGCUGAAUGGGGAGUUUCUGAGUGGCAUUAGUAGUUUGGGUUGGGCCUUUUGUGCCCAGGUUUUCUGCCACCUGUGUUGCCAACUGUGUCAAGGAAGGAGGACUUGGCCUGGGGUGCUCUGAGCCGAGUUGGCAGCUACCCUGGGGAGCAGUGCAGGCUGAGCGGCGUCUCCGCUCUGUGUCCAGCUGCAGCCCCCGCUGGUUUCUGUGCAGUGUUGAGCUCUGACUGUCUCUGUGCUUCCCUUCUGUGCUGCUCUCCUUUCUCCUACUCUGCUUUCUGCAACUCCCUGCGGGCCACAUCGCUUGCUUUCACUGCCGUCUGGCUAGGACUCCCUUCUUCUUCCUUCCCCGAGAAGCCUCAGUGUGCCCAGGAAGAUGCUGGGGCCAUUGGGGCCAUGAGGUCUUCUGGGGAGGCUAGCGGGGUGGGGCGGGAGCCUCUCAGCCAUCCAGAUUUGGAACCGGAGUCCACUCCUCCUCCCUUCCUCUUGCUGCCUCAGCCUGCCCCGGCCCUGGGACUAGGCAGAGAUGUGUUCUGAGCUGGAUGUCCAGGAUCCACAGUCGCUGCACAGUUCCAACAGGACAGCAUCCUCCCCCAAGCAUUGGGAGGGGACACUCCAUUCCUCUCCCUCACCCAUCCUGAGUGUAGAACUGGGGCCUGGGUAGUGGGUGGGGGUCGGGUGGGAGGCAUCAGUAGUCUUAGCCUGUGAACUCUCUAACCUGAGUGUUUGCUGCUGUCUCUUGGGGACUACUAGUCCUAGAAUGCAGUGCACCCGACCACCUUCCUGCUCAACAUAGCCAGGGGAGGUGGUGCGUGGUUACAGAUCUGUGCUUCUUGGAGUAAGUAGUUCUGGCGCUGGCCAGCUUGUCACUCGCUCUAGACUGGGAGAUCUUGUCUUUUGAUUUGUUCCUGGCAGGCUAGAAUGUGGAUGAAGGGGGAAUGACCUGAGCCUCAGUUCCCCUGACACCUUGCUGGCCCCGGGGUCAGAGUGGGCAGGUCAAGGACCUGCAAUGUCUGAAAGAGGUUCUUUUUCUGCAGGCAGACUGGGGUCUGAGGAACAAGCCAGGGGGGCAGCAGACUGAGGAAGCAGGGCAUGGCCAUGGAAGGCUGAUGGGCGUGGGCUGGCAGAGCUUGGAAGGGGAGGCCACCCUAGCAGCAUGUGACAGGAACGCCAGGCAUGCUGCUGCUUGAAUGUCUUUCUUUGGCCUCUGACCCUGCUACCCAUUCUUUCUCUCCAACAUCACAGACGAGCUGCCUCUCCUCCUCCCUGCCUGGGGAGCCCAAGGCUAGGGAGGGGACUGCUGGAGUGGGGUGUCAUCAGCCCUUGUAGCACUGAGCCUCAGAGACCUAUCAAAGCCAGCUGGGCUGAGCUCAAGACAGGAGGGAAACUGGAAGUCAAUAAAGCUGUUUUGAGAGCUUGGUA